CGAUGUGAGGGCGAUCUGGCUGCUACCUGUCACCUAUGAUUGCCAGGGUUGACUCAGCUGUCCCCUUACUCCAUGUGUGCCCCUCAGAAGCUGCACACUCAGUUUAAGAGGAUAAGCCCUCCCUCCAUAGAAGAGCUCCGUUCCUUGGUCAAGGGUACAGAAGUAGCUGCACUCUCCUGCUAGAACCUCCAAACAAGCUCUCAACAUCCAGCUAGAGGCAAGGGCUGAUAGCAAAAAAAAGUCCCGGUUUACUCUCCAAAUUUUGCCCUACUCAGUUUGAAAGGUGUGAACGAUU
ensembl:misc_RNA 7SK 7SK RNA